rnacentral:rRNA from 1 species
AUUGAACGCUGGCGGCAGGCCUAACACAUGCAAGUCGAACGGUAACAGGAAGAAGCUUGCUUCUUUGCUGACGAGUGGCGGACGGGUGAGUAAUGUCUGGGAAACUGCCUGAUGGAGGGGGUUAACUACUGGAAACGGUAGCUAAUACCGCAUAACGUCGCAAGACCAAAGAGGGGGACCUUCGGGCCUCUUGCCAUCGGCUGUGCCCAGAUGGGAUUAGCUAGUAGGUGGGGUAACGGCUCACCUAGGCGACGAUCCCUAGCUGGUCUGAGAGGAUGACCAGCCACACUGGAACUGAGACACGGUCCAGACUCCUACGGGAGGCAGCAGUGGGGAAUAUUGCACAAUGGGCGCAAGCCUGAUGCAGCCAUGCCGCGUGUAUGAAGAAGGCCUUCGGGUUGUAAAGUACUUUCAGCGGGGAGGAAGGGAGUAGAGUUAAUACCUUCGCUCAUUGACGGUACCCGCAGAAGAAGCCCCGGCUAACUCCGUG